UGCGAUCAUACCAGCACUAAUGCACCGGAUCCCAUCAGAAAUCCGUAGUUAAGCGUGCUUGGGAUAGAGUAGUACUAGGAUGGGUGACCCCCUGGGAAGUCCUCGUGUUGCAC
rnacentral:rRNA from 1 species